rnacentral:ncRNA from 1 species
AAAAACAUGUUGAUAAGAAAUAGUACUCUGUUUUAAUUGGUUAAGAGAGUCGAUGGUUGGUGCGAAUCGACCCAAUGGGCAGAAGAAUCCAUCUUUGAGUGGUAAAGGACAUAACUUUGCCCGGUCUCGCGUACCGUUAUUUACGUGGAAUGAAGAGGAUAAGACCAGCUUGCUUACCUACGGCAGAGCAAUAUGGCUUAUCAAUGAGGGUGGCAACGCGGAGUUAACAUUCGUCCCUGGU